rnacentral:rRNA from 1 species
AUGACCAAAAAGGAUUACACCCACAUCAAGUCUAUUCUUGACAGUGCUAUCUUUAUGUACGGCGUACGGGGUGGAGAGAUCAAGACCAAGAAGACAAGGAACCACACGCCCACCUUCAGCCAUAGGACCAACUUAUGUUGCAUCCAGCAACCGAGUGGUACUCUUAGUGAUGAAUUCUAUGUCCUCCACCUCAUGUUGGAGUACAUACAGGAUCAGCAGAACCUUCGCAUGUCACCUACAUUCGAGGAUGCCCAUAUUCUGCAAUGGGCAAAGAACUUAGGAGAUAUCAAAGAUCAUCGACAUCGAUCUGAGUUCUAUCACAUCCAGCAUGAACUUGCCCAAAACAUCAUGAAGGAGGUCGUCGAAAAAACAGGGAUGUUCUACAAAGAAGGGAAAAUGACGCGGGAAGACGUCUGA